ACAGAGAGGUACAAAAAUGAAAGCCUGGAUAACAGACUGGACCACAUACAACCAACCAUGCUCAAACAUGCAUCCAAUCAUGCUCAGUUUAGCAGAGAAGGAGAGGAUUGAAACAAGAGGCAAAAAUAAGUUAUGAAAACAGCAAUUAGAGUGUGAUUCGGAUUAUGUUGGUUUUCAACUACGGAUUAAGCCCUGCUACUCCUUCACAUACACACACCUUUACACCACAAUGCAAAUACAACAUCAGUCAUUGUUUUAAAUGCACAAAAGAGUUUUCAAUCUGGUGCUGAUCCUGUGAUUCAACAUACACAGAAACCAAGACACCGACUCCUCGAUCUUGGUCAGUUAUGUCUACUUCAGAAAACUGACCAAAUGUUGACCAAAUAAAUACAUGACUUUAAAGCAAUGACCAGUAUGUCAAAUGUAAUGAAGAUGUUGACAAAACAACUUAGCAUUACAGAGUAGAAAGAUAAUACCAGUGUUUGCAUGUUGACCUUGAUUAUUUUUGAUCAAAAUUCUUUCUUGUGCCAUCUAAAAAUAAUAUAAUGAUUUACUAAAAACAAAAAACUCUUUGUAUUUGUUUUACUUUUGCUCACUGUUCACCAAAAAAUGUGCCAUAGCAAAUUUGGUGCACCACUCUAAAAUGUGUAAUUACCAACAUUCAUAGAUAAAGCAGCAUGUUGACGAACAGGAGUUCUCGUUUCAUUUUUUUUUUUUACAUAUUUGCUAAAAUUGUCACUAUGUCAUGAAAGUACAAAAUAAGACAGAUAAUUAGUGAAAAAAAAUCUAGUUUCUCUGCCUCCUUCCUGUGGUCUGAGUGUCAUCUACAGAAAUGCGCUGCUACUGAUUAGAAGCAACCAAUCAGAGCCAAGAAGAGGGUCUUAGUGCUGUCAAUCACCUUUGUGUAUGCGCUGCUCACAUGCUAACCCUACACAGCGUGUUCUAACAUACAUAAUUCCCACAAUCAUUUCUGUUUUCUAAAUGGCAAAGUAAUAAUAACUUAGUAUUGUUUUUAGAAUUAUUUACUUAGGUGUUUGUGGCUGGAACUAAUGUGACUGAGGUUCAGUUUGUUCAUUCACCUUUUCUGCUCUUCCCAUUAAUUUUCUAUGAGACAGAGAUUAGGGUUUCAAGAUAUUGACUUUAUUGUCCUUCAGAUACUGUAACUAAUUUGGUUUCUUUUAGGUCAAUGUCCAGUUGUGUCCAAAUGUUUGUUUCAAUAUUUCCACAUAAUGUCCUUUGAUGAUGAAGUUCACCACUCCCUCCUGCAACAAAACACUCACCACACAAUAUUAUCCCACUGCUCAUAAACUUCACAGUCUGGAUGGUAUUAUCUGGCUAGCAAAAAAAAAAAAAAAGUUUUUAAAAAAUGUUUUAUAUUCAUCUCUUAAACGUAGUACGGCACAAUGGGUGGACAUUCCCACUAUGUUUGCAUACAGUUGUUUGAGCAGAUGAACAUAGAACCCAUAGGCACUGGGAAAUCCUACCCAGACUCGUUCUGGGUAGCUGAUUUCUUUUGAUUUCACCAUGAUGUCAGGAGUGCCUCCAAUUACCUCGAAUGUUGUGAAGAUUGGGAAACAUUUAAUCGUCCUCUGGGAUUUGCUAGCUUGUUUAAAGGCAUGCUAAUCCUAAUGUACGACGACCUCUCACUUUGAUGAAAGGACCAAGCAACCUCUCUAAAAUCUCUUCUAUAAUUUCAGGAUUUAGUAAACAGGAAAAAAUUGGUAAUCUUAAAUUGCCUAACAUAGAGAACAAAAUAUCUAGUAUGACAUCAAAAAAUGAGGAAGGUUGAAUGCUUUUCUACAAUGUAUCUGAAUAUUUUGUUUCAGUUGUAUGCAUUUGGCCAAAUCAGUCAUACUGAGAUGUAUUGUCAUUUUGCUGCAGCCAAAUAAACAACAUAUAAUUAAGCUGAAUAUUUUUCAAAAGGUUUUAUAUUCUUUGAACAGAACACACAUGUAAAAAUCCCUGUCUCUUAAUCCGGAAAUGAACUACUAUCCCAUCGUUGAUACCACUUAGCAUAAUACUGUCUUCAGCUCUUCCUCCUUUCAAAACUGACAAUAUCUGAAGGUAUGACAAAUUUCCAACUAGCUACUGGAAAGCUGGUUGAACUCUCUCUCAGGACUGAAUAAGCAAAACAUAGUUAAUGCACCUUUUUAUUUAACUAGAUUUUUGUGGCGUGCACCAACAGAGCUACUGUGUUUUCUGUGCUGAGAUUUAUCUGCCCUGAUUGAUGUUUCCUUUAUGAGUUGAAUAUCUUCCGAGCAUUACCGUCGCUGCACUUCCUUCUUCUUACUGGCAGGAAACAAAGUAGAAAAACUCUCAAAACUUUCCUGUGACGUCCUUCUUCUUUUGGAUCAUAGCUUAUUAUUAUUGUUAUUAUUGUUAUUAUUAUUAUUAUUAUUAUUAUUAUUAUUAUUAUUUAAGAUCAACUUUUCCAAACACUGGCAUUAUAAUUUAGCUGAUUGGAACACAGUUUAAAUUUGCAAAUUAGUUUUGCAUUUCAGCUCCAUUUUGACUGAAACUAUUGAAUGAAAA